rnacentral:snoRNA from 1 species
GUCUUACACUUCAUCUCUGAUCUUCAGGUAAGUUUAUGUGGACUCUAUAUCAAUCCUGAUGUA